AAUCAACGCUGGCGGCGUGCCUAACACAUGCAAGUCGAACGAGAAGGUGACUUCGGUCACUGGAUAGUGGCGUCCGGGUGAGUAACACGUAGGUAAUCUACCUUCGGGUGGGGAAUAACGUCUCGAAAGAGACGCUAAUACCGCAUAAUGCAGCGGCACCUAAUGGUGAUUAGUUGUUAAAGCGGGGAGUCUUCGGACCUCGCGCCUGAAGAGGAGCCUGCGGCAGAUUAGCUAGUUGGUGAGGUAAUGGCUCACCAAGGCUUCGAUCUGUAGCUGGUCUGAGAGGACGGCCAGCCACACUGGCACUGACACACGGGCCAGACUCCUACGGGAGGCAGCAGUGGGGAAUUUUGGGCAAUGGGCGAAAGCCUGACCCAGCAACGCCGCGUGAAGGAGGAAAUCCUUCGGGAUGUAAACUUCAUAAGUAAGGGAAGAAAGCUGCGGAUCGAAUAAGUCCGCAGUCCGACGGUACCUUACGUAAGCCACGGCUAACUACGUGCCA
rnacentral:rRNA from 1 species